GAGCGAGAGAGAGAGAGAGAGGAAGUGUGUGUGAGCGAGAGAAACAUACCGGUGAAACAGAGGGCAAGCUUUGAAGAUAUUUUAGAUUAAUUAUUGGUUGAGCAAAGGAUUGGCCUUGUGGUAAUCCUAAGUAUUGUUUUGGCGAGAGGCGAUAGUUCAGGUGGUGGCCCAUCAGGGA